CCUACGGGAGGCAGCAGUGGGGAAUAUUGCACAAUGGGGGAAACCCUGAUGCAGCGACGCCGCGUGAGUGAAGAAGUACUUAGGUAUGUAAAGCUCCGUCAGCAGGGAAGAAAAUUACGGUAUGUGACCAACAAGCCCUGUCUAACUACGUGCCAGCAGCCGCGGUAACACGUAGGGGGCAAGCGUUAUCCGGAUUUUCUGGGUGUAAAGGGAGUGUAGACGGCAGGGCAAGUCUGGAGUGAAAGGCGGAGGCUCAACCCCCGGACUGCUCUUGAAACUGCCAGGCUUGAGUGCAGGAGAGGUAAGUGGAAUUCCUGGUGUAGCGGUGAAAUGCGUAGAUAUCACGAAGAACACCGAUGGCGAAGGCAGCCUGCUGGACUGCAACUGACGCUGAGGCCCGAAAGCGUGGGUAGCAAACAGGAUUAGAUACCCUGGUAGUC
rnacentral:rRNA from 1 species